rnacentral:rRNA from 1 species
UACGUAGGGAGCAAGCGUUGUCCGGAAUCAUUGGGCGUAAAGAGCGUGUAGGCGGCCAGGUAGGUCUGCUGUGAAAACUCGAGGCUCAACCUCGAGACGUCGGCGGAAACCAUCUGGCUAGAGUCCGGAAGAGGAGAGUGGAAUUCCUGGUGUAGCGGUGAAAUGCGCAGAUAUCAGGAGGAACACCGGUGGCGAAGGCGGUUCUCUGGGAAUAUCCUGACGCUGAGGAGCGAAAGUGUGGGGAGCGAACAGG